rnacentral:rRNA from 1 species
UACAGGGGGGUGCAAGCGUUGUUCGGAAUCAUUGGGCGUAAAGCGCACGUAGGCGGCUUGCCAAGUCAGGUGUGAAAGCCUGGGGCUCAACCCCAGAAGUGCACUUGAAACUGGCGAGCUUGAAUGUCGGAGAGGGCAGUGGAAUUCCGAGUGUAGAGGUGAAAUUCGUAGAUAUUCGGAGGAACACCAGUGGCGAAGGCGACUGCCUGGACGAACAUUGACGCUGAGGUGCGAAAAGCGUGGGGAGCAAACAGG